GGCAAGAUGACCGAGUGGUUAAGGUGUAAGUACCGACGUCGUCUAUAUUGUAACUCUAGCAGUUACCUAACCUUAUCUUAUUAGGUAUGACUCAAGCUACAGCUUGCCCUAGAGAAUAGGGUGCCUUCAUAUGUCGCAAGACGCGUGGGUUCGAAUCCCACUCUUGUCA